GGUUUCGUAGCUCAGGUGGUAGAGCGCUUGCGGUGUUAAGGCACGCUGUUUCUGUCGCUGAUUCGAAUUCAGCCGAAGCCC
rnacentral:tRNA from 1 species